rnacentral:misc_RNA from 1 species
UCACCCCUCAAGCCUUGUGCUUGGUGUUGGACGGCCGGUCGAGCGAUCGACCCCUCCUAAAGACAAUGACGGCGGCCUGUGGUUCCCCCGGUACACUGAGCUUUUUACCAAGCACGUAUCGGACAAGGGCACCCGGGACCCGGUCCUCUCCUUUAAAGGAAACUUCUAU